rnacentral:rRNA from 1 species
UACAGAGGUCUCAAGCGUUGUUCGGAUCAUUGGGCGUAAAGGGUGCGUAGGCGGCGCGGUAAGUCGGGUGUGAAAAUUCGCGGAGCUUAACUCCGAAACUGCAUUCGAUACUGCCGUGCUUGAGGACUGGAGAGGAGACUGGAAUUUACGGUGUAGCGGUGAAAUGCGUAGAUAUCGAUAAGGAAGACCAGUGGCGAAGGCGGGUCUCUGGACAGUUCCUGACGCUGAGGCACGAAGGUCAGGGGAGCAAACGGGG